rnacentral:tRNA from 2 species
GCCUCUUUGGCGCAGUGGUAACGCGUAGCACUUGUAUCAAUCCAGACAAUGCUAAGAUCACAGGUUCGAUUCCUGUAGGAGGCA